UCGGCUGCUCCCAAAAUCUUAGUGCCUUCUCGGCUCCUCCCUCACAGUCGGCGCCGCCGCGAUCGCUCCCCUUCCGGAUUCCCCGCUGUCUCUGCCGCCGAUUGAAUCCCACAGGCCUCAGCCUAGAAACGCACACCUUUCCAACUAAAGGAUUUCCCUUCACCAUUUCUCUGCUGCUAGCGCUGCACCGUCACCGAAUACCCGUGCCCCGCUACCCUUUUACAUGGCAAAAAAAAAUAAAAAGACCAGAAGAGACAAAGAACUCGAAGGGCACAGCGCCGCUAAUCCUUUGCCUCAAGUAAAGAGAUACAAAGCAACACUACAGGCAACCAAUUUCCCAAGCGCCUGCCUGGUUAGGGGAGUUGGGAACUCUCAAUGGGGGGGCUUAAGCCUCCGAUAUGAGCACCGGACGCGGCUGUUCCGGCUCCUCAGCCACCUACUCAUGCACCACAAUUGGGCCGAGGCGAGUGGCACACCUUGAGCGUCUUGAUCCAAGGGACCGUCAAGGACCAUUCUCUCUCUGGAAACCGUGCUAAGUAUACGGCUGCAUUGGAGCUUCUUAGUGUUAUAGAAGGUGAAAAUCUCAGAUCCAGAAGAAUCCAGGUUAUCUAUGAGCUAUGGAUUAAAAAGAUCGGGCUGUUGAUGUACUGGCAUACAAAGCAUAGAUUUUCUGUGCAACUGGAGGUUAUUCUUACUUGUCUUCAACGUGGGAAUACGACGGAUGCAUAUCAAGCUGCUCUCUGCUCAAGAAGGAGCGUGGUUUUGAUGGCGAUGCAGUUGCAAAUUUGGUUGUUGGGUUGACAUUUUGUCAGCUGUGGUAUUCUGGUCUGCCAGAAGAGUUACAAUUGACAGCUCUUGAUUCAUUUGGCUUCGGUUUACAAUCAGAAAUCCCUAUUGAUAAAAUUCACAUGCCGAUUGAAUAUUCUAAGGAAGACAGUCCUCAUGAAGCAGGAGGAGACAACUUGGACAUACAUUGUAUUUCAAUCACAUCUGUGGCCAAUGAUAAAGAAGUAGGUGAAUGUGACAGUAAUAAAAAUUCUAUGGACACUGAGACCAAAGAGAAAGGAAACUUCUUGUUCCAGCUAUGAGCUGCAAGACUCGCGUGAGGAAUCAGCCAAGCCGAAUGGAAUCAGCGGUUCUUCAUUUUCCGACUGUAGCGGUGACCUUCCUCAAGCCUCUAUUUUCCUAACCCAAGGCUUACCUCCAUGGUUAUUGCCCUUGAAGUUGCCUAUUUCUCGUGAAAAUUUGGAGGAUGCAGUACGUAUGCGCAGAGAGUUGCUCAACGAUGACUAUAAGAAUGCAGUAAAACACCUUCGUGUUGCUCUUCACACAACACCGCCAGCAAUUGAGGCCCUCCACCCUUUUAUACAGAUGCUCAUUCUUGGAGAUCAAGUCCAUGAUGCCCUUGAUGAACUCGGAACGUUAUUUCAAACUCGGAGACAGUACUCCAACUAAGGUAGUUUCUCUAUUCUAUGAUCUUUCUUGCAGGACCUUGCCAAAAAUUCUAAGUACUACGAGUUGAAGAGACCUUUGUGAACAUGUUGCAAGCAAGUCUACUGGAGCAUUUUGAUAGUGGAAAUUACGUGAAGCUAUGUACAUACUUUGAGGACAUCUUGAAGAAGGAUCCCACGUGCAAUGACUCCUUGUCAAGACUUGUGCUCAUGCAUCAGCGUGUAGACUAUGACACACAGAGUUUGGUGGAAAUGUUAGCCUUACACUUAGAUGCUUCAUACGGGACAUGUGACAUGUGGCAAGAAUUAGCAUCUUGCUUAUUGAAACUCUCUCAAUGUGAAGGAGACAGAGAGUCUUCCUGCAAUAGGGGAUGUUUGGAUGAUUCCAACAGGGUACCGGAAUUAUUCACCUGUGGCAAGUCUGGAAAAGGUUGGAGAUUACGCUGCAGAUGGUGGCUGAAUCGCCACUUUCAUGACAGGAUCUUGAUGUCUGAGAUCGCCUCAGCUUCUGAGCUCCAAAGCAGCUGCAGCCUCACAUAUUUACGGACGACAAUUCAAAUACGUUGCGAAGGAGACUUUAAGAGUAGAGAAACAAGACGAUGUGGAACUCUAUUCUUUCUUACAAACUCACCUUCUAAAUUCUGUUGGUUUUUGUACUGUUAAAGGACGGAAUUGAUAUAUACACAAUACAAAAUAACUACGAAAACAAAAAACUUGGUUAUACAGUGUGAACAAGGAAAACAAGACGGA